rnacentral:rRNA from 1 species
GGAAUUGACGGGGAGCACCACAACAGGUGGAGCCUGCGGUUUAAUCGGACUCAACGCCGGGAAACUCACCAGAUAAGACAGCUGAAUGAUAGUCGGGCUGAAGACUCUACUUGACUAGCUGAGAGGAGGUGCAUGGCCGUCGUCAGUUCGUACUGUGAAGCAUCCUGUUAAGUCAGGCAACGAGCGAGACCCACGCCAACAGUUGCCGGCUCGUCCUCCGGGAUGGUGGGGACACUGUUGGGACCGCCUCUGCUAAAGAGGAGGAAGGAAUGGGCAACGGUAGGUCAGCAUGCCCCGAAUUAUCUGGGCUACACGCGGGCUACAAUGGGUGGGACAAUGGGUAUCGACACCGAAAGGUGAAGGCAAUCUCCUAAACCCAUCCGUAGUUCGGAUUGUGGGCUGCAACUCGCCCACAUGAAGCUGGAAUCCGUAGUAAUCGCGUUUCAACAGAACGCGGUGAAUACGUCCCUGCUCCUU